rnacentral:rRNA from 1 species
CACGUAGGGCGCAAGCGUUGUCCGGAAUUAUUGGGCGUAAAGAGCUCGUAGGCGGUCUGUUGCGUCCGCUGUGAAAACUCGGGGCUUAACCCCGAGCCUGCAGUGGAUACGGGCAGGCUAGAGUUCGGUAGGGGAGAUCGGAAUUCCUGGUGUAGCGGUGAAAUGCGCAGAUAUCAGGAGGAACACCGGUGGCGAAGGCGGAUCUCUGGGCCGAUACUGACGCUGAGGAGCGAAAGCGUGGGGAGCGAACAGG